UACAGAGGGGGCUAGCGUUAUUCGGAAUUAUUGGGCGUAAAGGGCGCGUAGGCGGCCAUGCGUGUCUUCCGUGAAAUCCCUCGGCUUAACUGAGGACGUGCGGAAGAAAACUGCAAGGCUCGAGUCCGGGAGAGGGGGGUGGAAUUCCCAGUGUAGCGGUGAAAUGCGUAGAUAUUGGGAGGAACACCGGUGGCGAAGGCGGCCCCCUGGACCGGUACUGACGCUGAGGCGCGAAAGCGUGGGUAGCAAACGGG
rnacentral:rRNA from 1 species